rnacentral:rRNA from 1 species
UGGGGGAUAUUGCACAAUGGGCGAAAGCCUGAUGCAGCGACGCCGCGUGGGGGAUGAAGGCCUUCGGGUUGUAAACUUCUUUUGCUCUGAACAAGGCAUGCUAAUGGGUGUGUUGAGUGUAGGGGUUGAUUAGCGCCGGCUAACUACGUGCCAGCAGCCGCGGUAAUACGUAGGGCACGAGCGUUGUCCGGAAUUAUUGGGCGUAAAGGGCUUGUAGGUGGCUGGUUGCGUCUGUCGUGAAAGCUCAUGGCUUAACUGUGGGUUUGCGGUGGGUACGGGCUGGCUUGAGUGCAGUAGGGGAGGCUGGAAUUCCUGGUGUAGCGGUGGAAUGCGCAGAUAUCAGGAGGAAUACCGGUGGCGAAGGCGGGUCUCUGGGCUGUUACUGACACUGAGGAGCGAAAGCAUGGGGAGCGAACAGG